ensembl:snRNA U7 U7 small nuclear RNA
CAGUGUUACAACUUUUAGAAUUGGUCUAGCUGUUUUUCCAGUCUUCACUGGAAAGCCCUU